rnacentral:lncRNA from 1 species
CCUAUCUCCUCACAUUUUCUUGCAGGAAAGAAUCAUAAACUGCAGAGACCGAAGCACUUCAGACAAAUGAGUAACUCAGCAGUCCUGGGCUUCAGAAGGCCAAACUCUAAACCCAGAUGCUUCUCAUAAAGUUCAUUUUUCGUUCCUCUCCCCAUGCAUUUCUGUGAAGACUGUCUUGAGAGGUGCAGUAACGGUAAUAGGAAGCACUCCUUAGGAUUGUACAGUUGAUUGCCCAGGGGAAGAAAGUGACAACCUCCAGAUUUCCAGGAGACCUUGUAUUUGCAGAGAUAGGGGUUCAAGGGAGGACAGCCAACUUGUCAAAAUCUGAAGAGCUGAGGCCCAAGCUGAAGGAACACCAUUGUUAGUAAGACACAGACUGCUGAGUUGGAAAGGACCGUAGAGGCCAUCAAGUCCAAUUCUAAGUGAAAAAAACCCC